UGUCUUCUAAGAGGAAAAGUAGCACUGUCUCCUCCAACUCAGACUCUUUGGUCUGUUCUUAUGAAAACCGUGAAACAUACAGACUCCUGUUUGCUAAGUAUUCAGGAAAGCAGGAUUCUAAUUUCAUUAUCAUAAUGACCAACUAGAAAAGUGGUACAGCAAGGGGAAAAAAAAAAGUCCCACAUCACACACUAGCGUUUGAGGAAGUAACAAUUUUCCACUUAGCUUUGGCCCCAUUGAUCACAGCAAGAAACCCGCUAACCCCACUUCCCUCUUCAGUCCCAGAAUGACUCAGUGAAGUCAGGUUUUCUUUUAGGUGAAACAUGGAAAAAGUGGCUCAUGCCGGAAGGAGAACAGAAUAAAUGUUUGCAAGUUUUCACAGUUCUAGUGUGCAGACUGUCAAUCAUCUUCUACUAAGCAUAAGUAGAAAGAAAGAAGAUAGAAGUCAUCAAAGGAGAAACCUGAAAGCUAUUUUCCACGGAGCUUAUUAUGGAAUAGCAGCCAGGCCAUAUUUCAGUCUACAGUUUCUGUUAUAAACAAGCGUGAUUUUUGCUCCUCCCCCUCAAAUCUACAAACAAAUGAAUAUCAUCUUCAAAAUCAGUAGAUGGAGUUGAGGUGGAAUCUUCUAUCAAGUUUGUAAAGAACAGUAUAAGUUCAAAAAUUAUGGGAACACUGAGGUAUAGAGAGGAAAGGUGACUUGCUCAAGAUCAAGCAAAUUAAUAGCACAGCUGGAAGAGAACCUGGCAACCUGAUCUCUACUCUAACAAUACACACUCUGUUUCAAGCAUUGAGAUGGAA